rnacentral:rRNA from 1 species
UACGAGGGGGGCAAAUGUUGUUCGGAAUCACUGGGCGUAAGGGAGCGUAGGCGGGUUCUAAGUCAGGUGUUUAAUCCCGGGGCCCAACCCCGGACAGGCACUUGAAACUGGGAAUCUUGAAUAGUGGAGAGGUCAGUGGAAUUGGGGGUGUAGCGGUGGAAUGCGUAGAGAUCCCCAAGAACACCAGUUGCGAAGGCGGCUGACUGGACACAUAUUGACGCUGAGGCUCGAAGCAUGG